rnacentral:rRNA from 1 species
UACGGAGGGUGCAAGCGUUGCUCGGAAUUAUUGGGCGUAAAGGGUAGGUAGGUGGUCUUAUUUGUCUGGGGUGAAAGCCUUGAGCUUAACUCAAGAAGUGCCCCGGAAACGGUAAGACUGGAGUCUCGGAGAGGGUCGUGGAAUUCCCGGUGUAGCGGUGAAAUGCGUAGAGAUCGGGAGGAACACCAGCGGCGAAGGCGGCGACCUGGACGAGUACUGACACUCAACUACGAAAGCGUGGGGAGCAAACAGG